rnacentral:tmRNA from 1 species
GGGGCCGAUCGGUUUCGACACGUCGUUUUGAGACGGUGAGAAGCGGGUCGAGGAGGCGAAGUUAUCUCGUAAACGCUCUUCGCAACCUAUAGGUGCCAACGCAAAGCGCACCGACUUCGCUCUCGCUGCCUAAGCGCGAGACCGAGUCCGUCAGUCCGGGUUCGCCUUCGCCCCGGGUUCUGGCGUCAUUGAGAGGGCUUGCUCGCGCGUCGUGUCUCAGGGCGCGUGGGGACUUGUACUGAGACUGGGCCUGUCACUCUAGGUGUUCGUGACAAAGAGCGGGGCCGAGCAGAACGUUUUUACGAACUACACCCGUAGAAGACGCUGAAUCAACGAAGUGGACAGGGGUUCAAUUCCCCUCGGCUCCACGG